rnacentral:lncRNA from 1 species
AUAAUUGAAAGUUGAUAUAUGAAGAUUAGGCUAAAUUAGCACCCAAAUGAUCAAUUGGGAUCUCCCCACUUAAUGUUUCACUGUUUGCCAAGGAAUGAUAAGCCCAUGCCCAAAAAGAGGGAAAAAACAAAAAAAAGAAAGCAGAAAUGCACUCACUUCGUCUCGGCAGCUCUUAAAAUUCAUACGAUUUCCGAGGGCAGCACCUCCAACAAGGUUUCUUUUUUUUUUUUUCACAAAAAACCAGCCAGUAAGAUAACCAGCCGUCAAACAGGAUCAACACUGAGAUAACUCUUCUUCCUUUCCUGCUAUUUUUUCAUUACAAUCUCGAAAAUUUUGGAGUGUCAAGAGCAUGUACUUCGGCAUUGAAAAGGAAAUCAAAUAGAUUUAGCACAUCAAAGCUUAUCAGUUUUUAUCAGACCGACUGCUCUCACAUUUGCGCUGUUAAUUCAAGAAAUUUAUGUUGCUAAUUUUAU